rnacentral:rRNA from 1 species
AUGAGUUGGGCGGCAUCUGGCGCCGCAGGGUCAGUGCGCCCUUCGCCGCCCUCCUCGUGGUGUCCGUCCUUGUCCUCGUCGUCUUCACUGGCCGCUUCCUGCAGGGCCCCGACGCUUCCUCGCGAUUCACCCCGGUACAUGUGGACGACUCCACACCCCGGACAGUCUCCUCCACAGACCAAGACUUGGAGACAUCUGAUUCAUCAAAUCAAGAAGGGGAGGGGGGUGACCAAAAAAUUGCUAGUUGUUGGUGAAGUGUCAUUUUCUCACAAUAUAAGACAUCCGGACUCUAUCCUUGGUGGUCGAGCAGCCUUAACUACGGCUGAAUAA